ACGAGAGGACCGGAGUGAACUGACCUCUGGUGUGUGGGCUCUACUGCCAAGUGGACUGCCCAGUAGCUAUGUCGGGAAUGGAUAACCUCUGAAAGCAUCUAAGAGGGAAGCCAGCUUCAAGAUGAGGAAUCGUUUGAGAAACCUGAGAGAUGAUCAGGUUGAUAGGCACUAGGUGUACAGACAGUAAUGUCUUUAGCCGAGGUGUACUAAUCGUUCGAUU
rnacentral:rRNA from 1 species